rnacentral:rRNA from 1 species
AGCUCUCAAGGUGUAUAUCGUCAUUGCUGCGGUUAAAAAGCUCGUAGUUGGAUCUGCGCCUUCGGACCCGGUCCGCCCAACGGGCGCGAACCGGGCUCCAAGGCUUACGUUGCGCUGGUCUGGGCGCGGUGCUCUUUACCGGGUGUCGCGUUGCCGGCUAGCGAGUUUACUUUGAAAAAAUUAGAGUGCUCAACACAGGCGCACCUCGCCUGAAUACUCGUGCAUGGAAUAAUAGAAUAAGACCGCGGUUCUAUUUUAUUGGUUUUCGGAGCUGCGAUAAUGGUUAAGAGGGACAGACGGGGGCAUUCGUAUCGCUGCGUGAGAGGUGAAAUUCUUGGACCGCAGCGAGACGCCCUACUGCGAAAGCAUUUGCCAAGAAUGUCUUCG